rnacentral:lncRNA from 1 species
CUUUCCUUUAUACCACAAGCCCUCUCUUCAUAAUUGGGGAGCUUCAAUAAAUAUGUAAUUGUUUUCUCAAUGGCUUACCUCUGAAAUAUUGUUUCUCCAUCCAUAGUUUCUGCCCUAUUCUCCACCUCAUCCUAUUCUUUGCUAUAGAGGAAAGCUUACAAAACUUUGAGGGAGCUCACAAGUCUCUCAAGGGAAAGUAGAAUCAUUCACAGAAAUACUUGGUUUGAGACAUCCUUUCAGUUUCUCUGUCUCUAUUGCCCUCCUCUUGCCACCAAUAGAAUGUGCUACCAAGGUGUCCUUUUCCUCAGAUGCAUUUUUUCUUUCUAGACUGCUCCUGAUGACUAGACUAACUGGAGAGUCAUUUGGCAAGGAAAUGGAGGUAAACAGGAUUAAGUGACUUGCCCAGGAUCACUCCUGUAAGUGUAGGAGGCCAGGUUUGAACUCAAGAAGAUGUCUUGUUAACUCAAGGCCCAGAACCAUCUACUGUGCCACCAAGUUGUCCCCUUAGAAGGUGCUUUAAAAAUUAUUUAUUGACUGGCUGGGGGAAGAAGUUAUUAGGGAGGCUUUAUCUCUAAUCUCCCCAAACUUAAUGAAACAGAUCCUGGUCAUUGAUAGGACUACUCAUAUAGAGAGGAGUCAUAUGUACUCAUCUGUGUGUAAGGACUUGAUAUAGAGUGCUCUCUUCAUCUCUGAAGAAUAUUGUUCUUCUGUAGCCAGAGUAGCAUAUUCCUCAUCUACCAGCAUCUAUGGAGACAAGUGCUUCAUUUGUGAUUCCUGAUAUUCUCAGAUGUCUACAAGGUGAGCAGUGGCAAUGACCUAACUUUGAGACAUGUAUCUAUGGCAAAUGUGAGUCUCUACCCAUCUGCCAAUCACUGGAUAAGACUUGAGAGCUCUGCUAGAGUACCAGUGUAGGAUAGGGAGGGAGAGAAUAUUUUUUGCUAAGGAGAUGCUAGUUUUGGUUAAUGCCAAUGGAUAUUAGAAAGCUUUUGAUAAUUCUUGUUAAUGUCUUGAUUUUUACAAUGCUUACCAAUGAACUUUAAUGACUUUGGAAGGGAAAGUGGGGCUAAUGGUUCUGUACAGCUCUGCCUCACUUAAAUACAGGUCAUAAGUAAAUCAAUACAUCAUGCCAUGAUGUUAGUUGGUUCUCUUUGAAAAUGAAGGAUGGACAACGUUUUCCUAAUGGUAUUAAACUGCUUGCUCAACUAUGGCAUUUAUAUUAGAGUAACAAACUACACAAUGGAUCUAUGAAGGCUGAGAGUAGCUGAUGGAUGGGGAC